rnacentral:tRNA from 1 species
GGGUCGGUAGCUCAGUUGGGAGAGCGCCUGGUUCGCAAUCAGGAGGCCGGGGGUUCAACUCCCCCUCGAUCCA